rnacentral:misc_RNA from 1 species
GUCAUUAAACCCCUCAAGUCUUGCCUGGCUUGGUCUUGGGCCUCGCACCUCCGGGUGGGCCUCAAAAUCAUUGGCAGCGCAGGCGGACUUCAAGCGUAGUAGUUUUCCCGCUUUGGAAGUGGCCGCCUGGUCCUGCCAGUUAACCACCUAUUUUCCAUAUCAUUGACCUCGGAUCAGGUAGGGAUACCCGCUGAACUUAA